AACUGCGAAUGGAUCAUUAAAUCAGUUAUCGUUUAUUUGAUAGUACCUUACUACUUGGAUAACCGUGGUAAUUCUAGAGCUAAUACAUGCUAAAAACCCCGACUUCGGGAGGGGUGUAUUUAUUAGAUAAAAAACCAAUGCCCUUCGGGGCUCUUUGGUGAUUCAUGAUAACUUAACGGAUCGCAUGGCCUUGCGCCGGCGACGGUUCAUUCAAAUUUCUGCCCUAUCAACUUUCGAUGGUAAGGUAUUGGCUUACCAUGGUUUCAACGGGUAACGGGGAAUUAGGGUUCGAUUCCGGAGAGGGAGCCUGAGAAACGGCUACCACAUCCAAGGAAGGCAGCAGGCGCGCAAAUUACCCAAUCCCGACACGGGGAGGUAGUGACAAUAAAUACUGAUACAGGGCUCUUUUGGGUCUUGUAAUCGGAAUGAGUACAAUUUAAACCCCUUAACGAGGAACAAUUGGAGGGCAAGUCUGGUGCCAGCAGCCGCGGUAAUUCCAGCUCCAAUAGCGUAUAUUAAAGUUGUUGCAGUUAAAAAGCUCGUAGUUGAACCUUGGGCCUGGCUGGCCGGUCCGCCUCACCGCGUGUACUGGUCCGGCCGGGCCUUUCCUUCUGGAGAGCCGCAUGCCCUUCACUGGGUGUGUCGGGGAACCAGGACUUUUACUUUGAAAAAAUUAGAGUGUUCAAAGCAGGCCUUUGCUCGAAUACGUUAGCAUGGAAUAAUAGAAUAGGACGUGCGGUCCUAUUUUGUUGGUUUCUAGGACCGCCGUAAUGAUUAAUAGGGAUAGUCGGGGGCAUCAGUAUUCAAUUGUCAGAGGUGAAAUUCUUGGAUUUAUUGAAGACUAACUACUGCGAAAGCAUUUGCCAAGGAUGUUUUCAUUAAUCAGUGAACGAAAGUUAGGGGAUCGAAGACGAUCAGAUACCGUCGUAGUCUUAACCGUAAACUAUGCCGACUAGGGAUCGGGCGAUGUUUCUAUCUUGACUCGCUCGGCACCUUACGAGAAAUCAAAG
rnacentral:rRNA from 1 species